rnacentral:rRNA from 1 species
UUUUAUUUGAGAGUUUGAUCCUGGCUCAGGAUGAACGCUGGCGGCGUGCCUAACACAUGCAAGUUGAGCGAUUUACUUCGGUAAAGAGCGGCGGACGGGUGAGUAACGCGUGGGUAACCUACCCUGUACACACGGAUAACAUACCGAAAGGUAUGCUAAUACGGGAUAAUAUAUUUGAGAGGCAUCUCUUAAAUAUCAAAGGUGAGCCAGUACAGGAUGGACCCGCGUCUGAUUAGCUAGUUGGUAAGGUAACGGCUUACCAAGGCGACGAUCAGUAGCCGACCUGAGAGGGUGAUCGGCCACAUUGGAACUGAGACACGGUCCAAACUCCUACGGGAGGCAGCAGUGGGGAAUAUUGCACAAUGGGCGAAAGCCUGAUGCAGCAACGCCGCGUGAGUGAUGAAGGCCUUCGGGUCGUAAAACUCUGUCCUCAAGGAA